ACGGUUAUAAAUCAACAUAUUGAUUUAUAAGCAUGGAAAUCCCCUGAGUGAAACAACGAAUUGCUGUGUGUAGUCUUUGCCCAUCUCCCAUUAGCGAGAAUCCGGCGCGAACUUACUUAUUC
rnacentral:other from 1 species